UAGGAGUCUGCCUGUACCGGGGUUCAGCCUGGCUCUACCACCAGCUGUGUGAUCCUGGGCAAGUCAUCAGUUAGCUUUGCUUCUGUGUCCUCCUCUGCAAAACAAAGAUAAGGAUAAAGCGUCCCCCUAGGGUUGUUGUGAGGAUCAAAUAAGUUAAAAUAUAUAAAGCCUUUAGGAGGGUGCCUGGCACACAGGAGGGUCUCUAUAAGUGUUUCCUAUUUUAAACCCUGUUCCUCACUGCCAUCCUGAACUCUUUUGUACAACACACCAGUUUCUCAGAAAUAGAAGCACAUACUCUGAAUAACUGGCCAUUUACUCAUCCCAUUAUUCCCUCGCUUGAUGUCCCCACGAAAUUAAGUCCCCACAAAGCUCAAGGCUCUCUGGGGUCUGCACUGUCACACAUAGUGAUGAAUGAGGUCCCUAUGGCUUCCAACUUGAUACUUCUGCUCAGACUUCCCCCCAGAGAUCCGUAAGUCACUUUAUUUCCUUUUUAAAGUACACACAAGGUGAUUUGAGGAAACAGAAGCACAGAAUCAUUUUCCCACUUCACUGGUUUUUUGAAAGAGUUAAGUGGUGUGAGGUUCCUGAUUUGUACCUAUUCUUUUCCUAUGUUUUUUUCUUCCCUUUGCCUCAUAUCCCAGCCAGAGCAAGAACAUAGGUGCUUUCUCAAGGAAACUCAAAUAACAUAUUAUCACCAUAAGAAUCCUCAUGCAAGAAUCAUUGCAAAAAUCAUUAAGUCUCAGUAUAGAAGUCCAUUAAAGGAAACUUCAUUUGGGAAACAUAGACUUUAACAGAAAUGCAGAUUUUGCAAACAAGAGACUGCCUUCUCUAACAGACAAGCCAGAAACACCCAUUCACAAGGUUUUUUCUCCUUUAGCGAACAAUUCUUGUUUCAGUCUCUAUUCUCAGCUCCCUGCCUGCAUUCAACAUUUGACUUCCAAGAAAAGACUUUCACUUGAUGAAGAUGGAAAACGGUGGUCCACCUCACUCCACUCUCCAGCAGUACCAGUGUCCCCAGUACAAAUGCCCACUGGUCAUGGGACUGAACUACGAGUCCUUCUGGACUCAAAACAACUCUGGACAGUUGACUGCAGCCGUGAAAUUAAAAGACGCUUACUCCCUGGAAGAAAAGCUAUGACAAACCUAGAUGGUAUAUUAAAAAGCAGAGAUAGCACUUUGCCGACCAGAAAAAGCUCUAACAACACGCAUACACGUGCACAAACACACACAUAUGCACACACACAAACAUUUCUUCAGCUCACCUUCAGAUGAUGUCAUUUACAUUCUAAAGUGACAAAAUUUUUAUCCAACCUAAAAGUGUUAAAAAUUUCUUCCUAAUUACUGAAACCAACAUUUUUUAAACGGAUAGAGUUUAGAUUAGGAAGCCAUGAAUCUAUCCCAUGAGCAUGCAGAAGUUCUCCUUGGGUACAUAUUGAUCCUUAGAAGCACAAUUUUAUUUUCUUGGACAAUUAAAGGGAGAUUAUACCACUGGGUCUAAGAAGAUGCUAUCACUUCUCAUCUCCUGGCAUCCAGCCGAUUGCUAUCUCAAUUUAAAACACCCUAAAGGUCAAUGCUUAUUUAGUUCCUUGCAAUAAUCUAUUUUGCCAUAACUUUGCUUUCCUAUUUAAUUCCCUUAUGUACAGCAGCAUUUUCCAACUCUAGUUUUGCAGAACAAGAGAUCCAUGAGGUGUUAAUAAGUAUCCCUAAUGAAAAAUAAAUGGUUGUAUAAGCAAAUACAUUUGGCAAAAGCUGGGCUGAAAACUUAAGGAGGUUUCUUUCAUGCAGGACUUCUCAGAGCCUUGAAUAUGCUAAUGUGUAGAGUGAACAGGAUCAGAGACAGCAGUUUGUAAUCUGCAGGUAAUUUAACAACAAUCCAUGUUAGCUUUUAUAAUUAUUAGCUACGACAAAUUCGAGGCUUUAAAUAUACAUGUUAAGAGUACCCUUCUUCCACAGACAAGCUCUCUGGAUUUUUUUUUUUCUUAAGUAAAACUUCAGUUUAUUCACAAGUGGGACCUGAUUAAAAGCUUUUGCACAGCAAAGGAAACUAUAAGCA
rnacentral:lncRNA from 1 species